UGGGGAAUUUUGGACAAUGGGGGAAACCCUGAUCCAGCCAUCCCGCGUGUGCGAUGAAGGCCUUCGGGUUGUAAAGCACUUUUGGCAGGAAAGAAACGUCAUGGUUAAUACCCCGUGAAACUGACGGUACCUGCAGAAUAAGCACCGGCUAACUACGUGCCAGCAGCCGCGGUAAUACGUAGGGUGCAAGCGUUAAUCGGAAUUACUGGGCGUAAAGCGUGCGCAGGCGGUUCGGAAAGAAAGAUGUGAAAUCCCAGAGCUCAACUUUGGAACUGCAUUUUUAACUACCGGGCUAGAGUGUGUCAGAGGGAGGUGGAAUUCCGCGUGUAGCAGUGAAAUGCGUAGAUAUGCGGAGGAACACCGAUUGCGAAGGCAGCCUCCUGGGAUAACACUGACGCUCAUGCACGAAAGCGUGGGGAGCAAACAGG
rnacentral:rRNA from 1 species